UACGUAGGGUGCGAGCGUUAAUCGGAAUUACUGGGCGUAAAGCGUGCGCAGGCGGUUUUUUAAGUCAGAUGUGAAAGCCCCGGGCUCAACCUGGGAAUUGCAUUUGAAACUGGGGAACUAGAGUGUGUGAGAGGGGGGUAGAAUUCCAAGUGUAGCGGUGAAAUGCGUAGAGAUUUGGAGGAAUACCAGUGGCGAAGGCGGCCCCCUGGCACAAUACUGACGCUGAGGUGCGAAAGCGUGGGGAGCAAACAGG
rnacentral:rRNA from 1 species